AGCAAUCCCCCGGUAGGGUGGCGAACGGGUGAGUAAGACAUGGGAAUCUGUCCCGGAGAUGGGGAUAUCCUUCCGAAAGGAGGGUUAAUACCGAAUACCGUCCGGUGGGCGAGAGUCCAUCGGGGAAAGGGAGGCCUCUGGCAACAAGCUUCCGCUCCGGGAGGAGCCCAUGGCCCAUCAGCUAGUUGGGAGGGUAACGGCCUACCAAGGCGAAGACGGGUAGCUGGUCUGAGAGGACGAUCAGCCACACUGGCACUGAGACACGGGCCAGACUCCUACGGGAGGCAGCAGUGAGGAAUUUUGCGCAAUGGGGGCAACCCUGACGCAGCAACGCCGCGUGUGGGAAGAAGGCUUUCGGGUUGUAAACCACUUUUGUAAGGGACGAAGUCCUUUCGGCAAAUAACCGAGGGGGAUGACGGUACCUUGCGAAUAAGCCACGGCUAACUCUGUGCCAGCAGCCGCGGUAAGACAGGGGUGGCAAGCGUUGUUCGGAGUAACUGGGCGUAAAGGGUCUAUAGGUGGUUUGUCAAGUCUUUGGUAAAACGCCGUGGCUCAACCAUGGUUUGGCCAAGGAGACAGGGAGACUGGAGGCUGGGAGAGGGAAGCGGAAUUUCUGGUGUAGCGGUGAAAUGCGUAGAGAUCAGAAAGAAGGCCGGUGGCGAAGGCGGCUUCCUGGAACAGACCUGACACUGAGAGACGAAAGCGUGGGGAGCAAACAGGAUUAGAUACCCUGGUAGUCCACGCCCUAAACGAUGGGAACUAAGUGUGGGGAGCAAUCCCCGUGCCGCAGCUAACGCAAUAAGUUCCCCGCCUGGGGAGUACGGCCGCAAGGUUGAAACUCAAAAGGAAUUGACGGGGGGCCCGCACANAGCGGUGGUGCAUGUGGGUUUAAUUCGACG
rnacentral:rRNA from 1 species